rnacentral:rRNA from 1 species
GGCUUAGGAUGAACGCUAGCGGCAGGCUUAACACAUGCAAGUCGAGGGGCAUCGGGAGUAGCAAUACUUGCCGGCGACCGGCGCAAGGGUGCGUAACGCGUGAGCAACAUGCCCGUAUCAGGGGGAUAAUCCAUGGAAACGUGGUCUAAUACCCCAUAGUAAUUAUGUAAGGCAUCUUAUAUAAUUUAAAGCUUUGGUGGAUACGGAUUGGCUCGCGUGACAUUAGCUAGAUGGUAAGGUAACGGCUUACCAUGGCUACGAUGUCUAGGGGUUCUGAGAGGAAGGUCCCCCCACACUGGAACUGAGACACGGUCCAGACUCCUACGGGAGGCAGCAGUGAGGAAUAUUGGACAAUGGAUGGAAAUCUGAUCCAGCCAUGCCGCGUGCAGGAAAGACGGCCCUAUGGGUUGUAAACUGCUUUUGUAUGGGAGCAAUAAGGGCUACGCGUAGUCCGAUGAGAGUACCAUACGAAUAAGCACCGGCUAACUCCGUGCCAGCAGCCGC